CCCCGAUUUCUUCUUAAUAGGAUUUCACGAGAAUACUUGAACUUAGAAUAAGUAGAUUCUCGCCCGGAUAAAUUAUUAUAUUUCUUUUCGAAAAAGUAUUCCUUUUAAUAAUAGAUUUUAUCAAAUUAUUUGAAGGCAAUGUGCUUAUAUUUUCUAUCUCAAUAAAUUAUUUUGAUGUUGGGCUUUGUAAACAAUUUGCAAAGGCUCACUUAUUUAAGAAGCCCACUAUAUCUUUAAGUGGACCGGAUAUAUAUAUAUAUAUAUAUCUUGAGUUUUUGCAUGAGUUUUUAAUCUAUUACUUGGGGCAGUAGAAUUGACACAUUACAUGAUCAUCAGUAGUUAGUUUUAAUGCAUGAUAGGGGUACUUCCACGUCUUCUUCUUCCUGCCAGUUUCCCCUAUAAAUUUUAGCCAUUCUCGCCCUUUCGAUCACACACGAAGCAGCUUAACUCUUCACCCAACACACAACUCAAAAUCCCAUCUUCUCACCAAGAGUAGCAGGCGACAGUUCGUAGCUCAAAAUCACAGCCCUCAAAAUUUACUUCAUAACAGAACUCCUCAUUAAGGUCCACUUGAGAGAAGGAAUUAGCUUUGCUUUUACAAGAAGAGAAUUGUACAUCUUUUAUCUACAGGCUUGUUCUAUCGAGGUUGAGCGGCAGGUGGUGUCGUGCGAGGCUGAGGGAGGAUGUUGCUGUAGUUUCAUAUAAUAAUUUCUGCUGCCAUAAUAUUCACUUAGGUGGAUAUCUUUUGAGAUUGACUCUUUAAAUAUUCUUAGCCUAAUUAUUAUGAACUCUUUUGGCAAUCGCAUUUCUAGCAACUGAACCUCGCAUAUAUGUAUGUCUAGUUUGAAGUGUUAUCUUGUUGUCUCAGACCUCCGAACUUUUGAUCCUGGUUGGGAGAAUUUCUAUCUAAGUUGUCGUAUUUAUUAUCCUUCAAUUCCGAAAUUCCUUUA